rnacentral:rRNA from 1 species
GAUGAACGCUGGCGGUAUGCUUAACACAUGCAAGUCGAACGGUCUCUUCGGAGAUAGUGGCGGACGGGUGAGUAACGCGUGAGAAUCUGGCUUCAGGUCUGGGACAACAGUUGGAAACGACUGCUAAUACCGGAUGUGCAGAGAUGUGAAAGGCUUGCUGCCUGAAGAUGAGCUCGCGUCUGAUUAGCUAGUUGGUAGUGUAAGAGACUACCAAGGCGACGAUCAGUAGCUGGUCUGAGAGGAUGAUCAGCCACACUGGGACUGAGACACGGCCCAGACUCCUACGGGAGGCAGCAGUGGGGAAUUUUCCGCAAUGGGCGAAAGCCUGACGGAGCAAUACCGCGUGAGGGAGGAAGGCUCUUGGGUUGUAAACCUCUUUUCUCAAGGAAUAAGAAAGUGAAGGUACUUGAGGAAUCAGCAUCGGCUAACUCCGUGCCAGCAGCCGCGGUAAUACGGAGGAUGCAAGCGUUAUCCGGAAUGAUUGGGCGUAAAGCGUCCGCAGGUGGCUCUGUAAGUCUGCUGUUAAAGAGUGAGGCUUAACCUCAUAAAAGCAGUGGAAACUACAGAGCUAGAGUGCGUUCGGGGCAGAAGGAAUUCCUGGUGUAGCGGUGAAAUGCGUAGAGAUCAGGAAGAACACCGGUGGCGAAGGCGUUCUGCUAGGCCGCAACUGACACUGAGGGACGAAAGCUAGGGGAGCGAAUGGGAUUAGAUACCCCAGUAGUCCUAGCCGUAAACGAUGGAUACUAGGCGUUGCGAGUAUCGACCCUCGCAGUGCCGGAGCCAACGCGUUAAGUAUCCCGCCUGGGGAGUACGCACGCAAGUGUGAAACUCAAAGGAAUUGACGGGGGCCCGCACAAGCGGUGGAGUAUGUGGUUUAAUUCGAUGCAACGCGAAGAACCUUACCAAGACUUGACAUGUCGCGAACUUUUCUGAAAGGAAGAGGUGCCUUCGGGAGCGCGAACACAGGUGGUGCAUGGCUGUCGUCAGCUCGUGUCGUGAGAUGUUGGGUUAAGUCCCGCAACGAGCGCAACCCUCGUUUUUAGUUGCCAGCAUUAAGUUGGGCACUCUAGAGAGACUGCCGGUGACAAACCGGAGGAAGGUGGGGAUGACGUCAAGUCAGCAUGCCCCUUACGUCUUGGGCUACACACGUACUACAAUGCUCCGAACAGAGGGCAGCAAGCGUGCGAACGCAAGCAAAUCCCGCAAAUCGGAGCUCAGUUCAGAUCGCAGGCUGCAACUCGCCUGCGUGAAGGAGGAAUCGCUAGUAAUUGCAGGUCAGCAUACUGCAGUGAAUUCGUUCCCGGGCCUUGUACACACCGCCCGUCACACCAUGGAAGCUGGUCACGCCCGAAGUCAUUACCCCAACUUUUCGGAGAGGGGGAUGCCUAAGGUAGGACUGGUGACUGGGGUGAAGUCGUAACAAGGUAGCCGUACCGGAAGGUGUGGCUGGAUCACCUCCUUUUUAGGGAGACCUAAUCCACUCAAAUACCGAGAUACAAAAUAUAUAGGUAUUGAGUUGGUCAACCUAGGUCGGUCGCAGGAAUAGUGAGGCUUUCAAACUAUGAUUGGUUCGCAUUGGGGCUAUUAGCUCAGGUGGUUAGAGCGCACCCCUGAUAAGGGUGAGGUCCCUGGUUCGAGUCCAGGAUGGCCCACCUGAAGAAAGUAUGAAGUGUAAAGUAUGAAGUAUGAAAUAAAUUAUUAAUUUCAGAAUUCAUAAUUCAGACUUCAGAAUUCUUAUGGGGGUUUAGCUCAGUUGGUAGAGCGCCUGCUUUGCAAGCAGGAUGUCAGCGGUUCGAGUCCGCUAACCUCCACCUAGAAAGAAAAAAGCAAGAGGAAAAGACAGCACCUACCUGUAAUGGAUAGAAUGCUGGAUUGAAUCCAGCCAGAACCUUGAAAACUGCAUAGAAACGCGAUUGUAUAGCAGGCAGACACAGACAUUGAAAGAUGAAUGUGUGUGCAGAUUGUCAACCAAAUGUAAUUGUGGUCAAGCUAAUAAGGGCUAACGGUGGAU